rnacentral:antisense_RNA from 1 species
UGGGGUCUUCAUAGGGCAGAUCUCCACCAUGUCAUGCAGAGAUGCAGUGCUGUCUUCUGAUCAGGAAUUAUGCUCUUCCACGGCACUCUGGCUCAUUCCACAGUCAAUAAUGUUAAAUGGAGUGAAAAUGUAGGUCAGUGGAGCUAACUUGGAAGUCUCCAGGACAACUCUUCCUCCAAAUCCAUUGGAAAACAUGAAGCAACAGGCAGAAAUGCCAAGGAUUUGACUGCUAAAUACCAGAUAAGUAAGCUGCUCCCCCAAAAAGUCUUUAGCAUACUAAGCAAGUCGUUUACUGGAAGAAAUUUAAACCUUUUUUAAAGC